GACAGAGGUGGCAAGCGUUGUUCGGAAUUAUUGGGCGUAAAGGGCGUGUAGGCGGUUUUGUAAGUCGGGCGUGCAAUCCUAUGGCUUAACCAUAGAACUGCGUUCGAUACUGCAUAACUUGAGUGCAGGAGAGGAGAGUGGAAUUCCCAGUGUAGAGGUGAAAUUCGUAGAUAUUGGGAGGAACACCGGUGGCGAAGGCGGCUCUCUGGACUGUAACUGACGCUAAAGCGCGAAAGCGUGGGGAGCAAACAGG
rnacentral:rRNA from 1 species